rnacentral:lncRNA from 1 species
CCCCGCUGCCGUGACACCCCCCGGCCCCCAUCCCGCUGCCAUCACGCCUCCCGGCCCCCGCACCCUUGUCUGUGUCCCACAGCACAGGACCUGUCAGCGAGCGUCUGGCGCCUUCCUCCCUCCCCUGCAGAGACCCGCCAGGCCCCUCCAACAGGUGCUUUCUAAACUGCAAUUUCCUCAUCUACAAAAGGACAAUCACAACAACGGAACCCAGGGGACAGGACUGCAUCAACUACAACCAGACGGCGUAGACGGCAGCACACGGCCCUCGGCAAAUCAGAGGUGCUCAGUGACCACAGCCACCAUGACAGCAGGGCGGGGCGGGGGGCAAGGAAGCAGCGCUGGGAGACUUGGAGACACCCCAAAAAACGCCUUCCUCAGAAACACUGCUGUGCAAGAACCUGCAAAUCCCUAAGGCGUCUGUGUCCGAUGGCCCCGGCCCCAUGCUCUGAGGUCGCGCAGGUGUCCAAGGCCAGGAGGGGCACCGAGGAGACGAAGAAGAAACAGCACAGCAGCUGGGGAGGUUUUCUGUGCCUGUUUUCGGUGAGCACAGAACAACUGAAGGAAGCGCGGGACAGACACAAGGGCGGGCCUCGGUGCCACGGCUGGCCUUGGGCAGAGGGAAAUGCUUUGUGUACUUUCUCUGGGAAGCAGCAGCCCCAGCGCGGCCUCGGCGUCCUCUGCCGCCAACUGCUCCGUGACCGCUGGGCGUGUGUGCGGGGACAUGGGAGCAACUUCACAGUGGUGGGAAGUUUCUCUCCUAAAACGAAAGCUUCUCUAUACUACAGAUUGGCCCCAUUAAAUAAAAGAAAAUACGGUGUAUUUUUACAGCGUUUGGGAUUGGAAAUGACUGAGAUUCACGGUGGCUCUAGUCCUGUCUCCUGAAGACGGAGCUGGACGAGGUCUGCGGACAGUCAGAAAACACGUCAGGGUUUUGGCUCAGCUGCCAGAUAUGCAGCUAUGGUGGGAUUUCUGCGGCAGGGCAAGGAAGUGGAGACAGUUCGCGUGGCAGAGCACAGCGGGUGCCCUAUAGUGGGCACGCCUGGAGAGCGUAUAUUUUCACAGGGCCCGAAACCUGAAUGGAGGAUUCUUUCCACCAGCUGCGGGGUGGGGGGGGGCUCAGGCACAUCAGUUUUCCCACCCAGAAGACGAAGGCCUGCGAAGGGGGCCCCAUGAGGCCUGGGAAGGGGGCCCCGUGAGACCUGGGGUUAAAUCUUCCACAGCAAGCAGGGACCCCAGCCAGGCUCUGCACAAGGCAGGCGCUGCGCUCAGGUGGGAGUCCUGUGAGAUGCUCCUGCACCCCACACUCCCGUGACCACAGGCGAGGCCUAACGCCCCCCACGCCGGUUCAUCUCGUCUCCUCAAACUCCCACCAAGAUGCUCACGACAGGGCCCAAAUGCACUCCCGGGGGGUUGGCUAGUCUGCAGGAUCACAGGCUGGCCCAGUGAAAACCUGGGCUUCGCUGCCUUACAACCAUGCAGAACUCAUAGCCAGGCCAUGUGCCCACCUGCCCACUGGGACCCCGGGACAGUGCCUGCUCCAGACAGAGGCUGGGAGCUCUGUGAGGGGCACAUGGAGUGAAGCAGAGCCUGCGGCUCACCUGUUUGGCUCUGGCUGGCCAGGUGCCCCCUCAAGCCCCAGCUCAGCCUUCCCCCAAACACUCAGCUCCAUCCCCCACCCCAGCGGGUCAGGGCUCCAUCAAGACUGCUGGUGAAUGGCCGGCUGAGGAGGCAGCGAGGCAGCGGGUCAGGGCUCUGUCAAGACUGCUGGUGAAUGGCCGGCUGAGGAGGCAGCGAGGCAGCGGGUCAGGGCUCUGUCAAGACUGCUGGUGAAUGGCCGGCUGAGGAGGCAGCGAGGCCUUUGGAGAGGGAGGGCCAGGGUCACAAGACCAGCAGGGCACAAAGGUGGCUACGGGAGGAGCAGGAAGUCAACAGCCGCAAACAAACCUCCCAAGCCACUCGAAGCUGACAUCCGCAGGCCACAGGGACACACCUGAGGCUGCGGAGGGGCGGCCACAGACCUUCACAGCCAUCCUGGGUCCCCAGGCAGGCAACGCCCGGCUGCUCGUCUGCUGUCCACCUCCCUAUGGGGACACCUCAAAUCACACGAGAAUUGUGACCUCAAAAGCUUAUGCUGCUUUUGCACAGAAACAGUGACGUGUGAACCAUCCUGGGAUGGUAUGAAAGACAAGCGCAGGUCUGGAAAAGCAGUUCAGAAGCCACUCAACUGUCUACGCUGGGGAGACGGUUUCGUGAGCUACCACCACAGCCUAUAACUACUUAUCCAUUAAAAAUGAUAAUAAAACCCAGGAAGAGGCCGGGAAAACAUUCAAUAAACCAGCGUGCUGAGGGAAUCUGCACAACCCCCCUCCCUGCCCAAUGUAGACGUGUGACGGGAAGUGGCAGGGGCAGCAGCUCCUCUGAGGGGCCCCGUGGCAGGCAGGCCCUGGCGGGGGCUGGGAGGGCUCAGGGGCAGGGGUGACUCCCAGAUGCCCUCCAGAGGGUCCAGGGCCCUGCAGGAGCCACCAGCCCUCACCACUGGAGUCCCCGGCCUCCCAGCUCUGGGGAAGCAGCCCUGGAGAAGUGGCGCCCAUGCUUUCUAGAACCUCUCUGAAGGGUUGUUUAAGCAGCGAGGGCCCAUGCUGCCGUCAAGAACACACAAUUCUCAAGGUCCCGGCUUUGGGGAGUUCCCCCAGGCCCCGAACCUGACCUUGGCAGCCCCUCUGCGUGGCUCAGGAACGAGUCCCACAAGCCCCUGGCUCUUGGCCGGAAACCGGCCACCAAAACAGACUGUGAAGGGCCAACCCCUCCUCCCAGGGAAUUCCAGGGCUCAGUAGGACCCUUUGCUUUCCCUGGGGUUAGAAGGACAGGUGCUGGCAGAAACGCAAAACAGAGUGGCCACUUUGGCAGCUUUGUAUGAAGCUAAAUGUGCACACACUGUAAGAACCAGCGAUGCCCAAUCCUAGCGAUCCACCCAAAAUAAAAUUACGCUCACAUGAAACCCUGUAUGUGAACAUUUAAAGCAGCUUUAUAAUAGACACAAUCUGGAAAGAACUCAAAUGUCGCUCCCACGAUGGCGGGACACAGACCGCGGCACAGCCCCCCGUGCUCAGUGGCGAGCAGCCACGGCCACCUGGUGUGCACGACGUGACACACCAUCUCAAGCGCAGGAGGCACGGGGACAGCCAGGCUCGGAGGCUGCACACGCACAGGUGCCACCCGCGUGACGGUCCGGGGAGUCUGAUCACGGGAGCAGAGUGCAGCCGCACGGCCGCCAGGUUGGGUGGAGGGAGGGGCUGACCACCCAGGGACGGGCAGAGGAGUCUGGAACAGGACGGUUUGUGCGCUGCCUGCGAGCACCGUGCUUCCACGACUAGAUGCCUCUGUGGUGAAAGCCAAAAGGAGUAUUUUACUGCACACAAAUUCUCAGAAAUGAUCAUCUGAAAACUACAGGUUCUCGGCUAAGGCACCCAGGCUCAGACUGCCGACACAUCGUUAAGCAGCUGGGUACCAGCAGCAAUGACCUCAUCCCUCUGACUCCGUGACCUCGGCUGCAGAGGGUCACGGCGAAUUAUAUACACAGUGCCACGCACAUGGGAAGCUCUCAGUGAGAGAGGGUGGGCUGAGAGCCGCUUGGCCUGGGCCCUGCACCUCGUCCCACUCUGCAUGAACUGCCUUUGCGGAGCCCGAGCCCGGGCAGAAGAACCAGAACAAAACCUAAGUACAAACACGGCGGGCUCGAGCGGGGCUUGGCACGGCGCAGGGGUGGCGGCAAGGGGGCAGCCUGGACUGGAGCCAGAAAGCCUGUGCUGGCAUCCGCCACGCGGACGGGGAAGCUGAGACCCAGGGCUCAGGUCACGCUUACGUCGUUUGGUAGCCAGGUACCAGGACCUCAUGCCAUACACAGCACACAGGCUGUGGAGCUGGAGCCAGUCGAGGAACCUGGAAGCCCCGACCCAGACAAGGCGCAGCCUGGGGGAGGGACAGGGAGGCCUCUCGAACCCAUGGCUUUCUUCUGCCCACUGCAGCCUGGGGGAGGGACAGGGAGGCCUCUCGAACCCAUGGCUUUCUUCUGCCUGCACAGGGGCCCCUCCUGUCCACGAUAAAAGCCCAGUAAUAAGGAGAAAGCAGUCAGCAGCCUUCACCUCAGCUCCAGACUCCGUUCUCGGGGCCAAGUUCAGGUGUGUGCCUGUCCCCCCACCCACCAGGUGGCCAGGCCUGGCUAUGACCGCACGGGAGAGCAGGGCGGACCCCGCGAACGGGGACAGCACCUGACGGCGACAUCCACAAACGCCGCCCCGCAGGAGCACGCACUCCCACACAAAGCGCCUGCAGCUGACAGCCGCCGGGAGGGGACAUCUGGACAGCCUCACGCAGCUUUCAGACCUGCAGUCCAUGUUAAAAGGAUCUUGUUUCCAAUUUGCCUUAAUUAAACAAACAUUCCAAACCACUUCCUCUCAGUCUGACCAUUGUUCU